rnacentral:rRNA from 1 species
GACGAACGCUGGCGGCGUGCUUAACACAUGCCAGUCGAACGGAAAGGCCCUGCUUUUGUUGGAUGCUCGAGUGGCGAACGAGUGAGUAACACGUGAGUAACCUGCCCUUGACGUUUGGAUAACUUCAGGAAACUGGGGCUAAUACCGGAUAGGAGCUCCUGCUGCAUGGUGGGGGUUGGAAAGUUUCGGCGGUUGGGGAUGGACUCGCGGCUUAUCAGCUUGUUGGUGGGGUAGUGGCUUACCAAGGCUUUGAGGGGUAGCCGGCCUGAGGGGGUGACCGGCAACAUGGGAACUGAGUUACGGCCCGGACUCCUAGGGGAGGCAGCAGUGGGGAAUAUUGAACAAGGGGCGGAAGCCGGAUGCAGCAACGCCGCGGGCGGGAUGACGGCCUUCGGUUUGUAAACCGCUUUCGCCUGUGACGAAGCGUGAGUGACGGUAAUGGGUAAAGAAGCACCGGCUAACUACGUG